AAAAGGAAAGGAUAAGGGCGUGUUCCUAACCGGCUCCUUCUCCUUGCAGCCUGCUUCAUUCUCCUGCUCACGGCUCUCCUGGUCCUGCCGCUGUCCAUGGCCUUCACAGGAAUGAAGUUUUUGGAGGACUGCCCCAUACAGCCUCUCAUUCCCUUGUAUUUGCU
rnacentral:lncRNA from 1 species